AGAUUGAACGCUGGCGGCAGGCUUAACACAUGCAAGUCGAGCGGUAACAGAGAGUAGUUUGCUAUUCUGCUGACGAGCGGCGGACGGGUGAGUAAUGCCUAGGAAUCUGCCUGGUAGUGGGGGAUAACUUGCCGAAAGGUAAGCUAAUACCGCAUACGUCCUACGGGAGAAAGCAGGGGACUCUUCGGAGCCUUGCGCUAUUAGAUGAGCCUAGGUCGGAUUAGUUAGUUGGUGAGGUAAUGGCUCACCAAGACCGCGAUCCGUAACUGGUCUGAGAGGAUGAUCAGUCACACCGGAACUGAGACACGGUCCAGACUCCUACGGGAGGCAGCAGUGGGGAAUAUUGGGACAAGUGGGGGCAACCCUGAUCCAGCCAUGCCGCGUGUGUGAAAGAAGGUCUUAGGAUUUGUAAAAGCUAACUUUUAAGGUUGGGAAGGAAACGGGUCAAGUUUAAACUAAUUACUUGACUUGUUUUGAACGUUACCGAUAAGAAUAAGCACCGGCUAACUUCGCGC
rnacentral:rRNA from 1 species